rnacentral:lncRNA from 1 species
GGGAUUUGGCUGAGUAGAGGAGCAAUUUUAGUUUCUACAUAUCGAAAGGUAUGUAUUGCUCAUUUUUUACAGAGCAUAAAUUGUUGACUUUCUCUAAAUCAUUGGUGUUUUGCUUUACUGACCACGAAAGCUAAAAUUCUUCACUCAUACUAUAUUAUUUUUACUUUAUUAAUCCAACCCCUUCGUUGGGUUUUUGUGAAUUUUUUAUUGUGCCCUUGAUUUGUUGUUUGUUGCUUUGUAGAUCAUAAC